CUUGCUUCUCUUGAGAGCGGCGGACGGGUGAGUAAUGCCUAGGAAUCUGCCUGGUAGUGGGGGAUAACGUCCGGAAACGGACGCUAAUACCGCAUACGUCCUACGGGAGAAAGCAGGGGACCUUCGGGCCUUGCGCUAUCAGAUGAGCCUAGGUCGGAUUAGCUAGUUGGUGGGGUAAUGGCUCACCAAGGCGACGAUCCGUAACUGGUCUGAGAGGAUGAUCAGUCACACUGGAACUGAGACACGGUCCAGACUCCUACGGGAGGCAGCAGUGGGGAAUAUUGGACAAUGGGCGAAAGCCUGAUCCAGCCAUGCCGCGUGUGUGAAGAAGGUCUUCGGAUUGUAAAGCACUUUAAGUUGGGAGGAAGGGCAGUAAAUUAAUACUUUGCUGUUUUGACGUUACCGACAGAAUAAGCACCGGCUAACUCUGUGCCAGCAGCCGCGGUAAUACAGAGGGUGCAAGCGUUAAUCGGAAUUACUGGGCGUAAAGCGCGCGUAGGUGGUUCGUUAAGUUGGAUGUGAAAUCCCCGGGCUCAACCUGGGAACUGCAUUCAAAACUGACGAGCUAGAGUAUGGUAGAGGGUGGUGGAAUUUCCUGUGUAGCGGUGAAAUGCGUAGAUAUAGGAAGGAACACCAGUGGCGAAGCGACCACCUGGACUGAUACUGACACUGAGGUGCGAAAGCGUGGGGAGCAAACAGGAUUAGAUACCCUGGUAGUCCACGCCGUAAACGAUGUCAACUAGCCGUUGGGGAGCCUUGAGCUCUUAGUGGCGCAGCUAACGCAUUAAGUUGACCGCCUGGGGAGUACGG
rnacentral:rRNA from 1 species